rnacentral:rRNA from 1 species
UAAUGCUUAGGAAUCUGCCUAUUAGUGGGGGACAACAUUCCGAAAGGAAUGCUAAUACCGCAUACGCCCUACGKGGGAAAGCAGGGGAUCUUCGGACCUUGCGCUAAUAGAUGAGCCUAAGUCAGAUUAGCUAGUUGGUGGGGUAAAGGCCUACCAAGGCGACGAUCUGUAGCGGGUCUGAGAGGAUGAUCCGCCACACUGGGACUGAGACACGGCCCAGACUCCUACGGGAGGCAGCAGUGGGGAAUAUUGGACAAUGGGCGAAAGCCUGAUCCAGCCAUGCCGCGUGUGURAAGAAGGCCUUUUGGUUGUAAAGCACUUUAAGCGAGGAGGAGGCUACUUAGAUUAAUACUCUAGGAUAGUGGACGUUACUCGCAGAAUAAKCACCGGCUAACUCUGUGCCAGCAGCCGCGGUAAUACAGAGGGUGCGAGCGUUAAUCGGAUUUACUGGGSGUAAAGCGUGCGUAGGCGGCUUUUUAAGUCGGAUGUGAAAUCCCUGAGCU